rfam:Mesorhizobium sp. L48C026A00 scaffold0015, whole genome shotgun sequence.
CUCGGCGCGGGCGCCAACGGACGCCAGGGGCAAAAGGGCCAAAACGAGCGCCCGGCAAAUCCGUCCGGGCGACGAAAAAAAGCGCGUCGAUGAAAAGCCGGAUGGCCCGUAUGUGCGCAUGGUGCGAAGUAUGGCCGAUA